rnacentral:rRNA from 1 species
UACGGAGGGGGCGAGCGUUAUUCGGAAUUAUUGGGCGUAACGGGCGCGUAGGCGGCUAGGUAAGUCAACGGUGAAAUCCCUCGGCUCAACUGAGGAACUGCCUUUGAAACUGCCUAGCUUGAGGCCGGGAGGGGGUGGCGGAAUUCCCAGUGUAGCGGUGAAAUGCGUAGAUAUUGGGAGGAACACCAGUGGCGAAGGCGGCCACCUGGACCGGUUCUGACGCUGAUGCGCGAAAGCGUGGGUAGCAAACAGG